rnacentral:rRNA from 1 species
UACGUAGGGUGCGAGCGUUGUCCGGAAUUAUUGGGCGUAAAGGGCUCGUAGGCGGUCUGUUGCGUCGGGAGUGAAAACUCAGGGCUUAACCCUGAGCCUGCUUCCGAUACGGGCAGACUAGAGGUAUGCAGGGGAGAACGGAAUUCCUGGUGUAGCGAUGAAAUGCGCAGAUAUCAGGAGGAACACCGGUGGCGAAGGCGGAUCUCUGGGCCAUUACUGACGCUGAGGAGCGAAAGCGUGGGGAGCGAACAGG